rnacentral:rRNA from 1 species
UACGAAGGGGGCUAGCGUUACUCGGAUUGAUUGGGCGUAAAGGGCGCGUAGGCGGAUGGUACAGUCAGACGUGAAAUUCCUGGGCUCAACCUGGGGGCUGCGUUUGAUACGUGCUGUCUGGAGUUCGGAAGAGGGUCGUGGAAUUCCCAGUGUAGAGGUGAAAUUCGUAGAUAUUGGGAAGAACACCGGUGGCGAAGGCGGCGACCUGGUCCGAUACUGACGCUGAGGCGCGAAAGCGUGGGGAGCAAACAGG